CUCAAUUUAAACUUUUCUUCAUUAUUAUUUAUGUGCUUUUAUUGAUUAAAUGUUUGACACUUUAGCAAAUUAGUACAUGUGAAUCAGAGAGUCUGUGGGUAGUGAAGUGGAGUUGUUGCACUCGACACAGGUUGACGAGGAGGUGUAUCUCUUUCACAUUGAUAUAUAUAUACAUGUAGACAAUCACACACGCGAUGAGGUUAGGGGUGAGCCUACUGAAAACCCAUAGUGGUGUUAGAUGUUUAGGGUGAGCCUACCGAAAACUCGGAUAUGUUAUAUUUGUUGUAUGGGUUACUGGUGGAGGUUGCAGUUGAACCUAUUGAAAACCUAGAUAUAUUGUUUUAUCAACAUUAUUGUAUCAAGCUUUGUGAUAUUGGUUUAAAAGAACUUUAAAAAAAGGCGUGCCAUAAUAGGUUUACCUAAAAUUCAUUCAAAAUGGAUAAAUCUUGGAUUCUCAAAGAUAGAAGAUCAAAAGACUAUGAUUCAUGCGAAUGAUCUUCAAUCCAUACGAUGUCCAUGUAGUGUAUGUGGGAACUUGAGAAGCCAACUUGUUUAAGAGAAUAGAAAUCAUCUAUUUGUUAAUGGCAUUGAUCAAAGCUACUUCAAAUGGAUAUGGCAUGGACACUAGUGGGGCAACAACAUUUGCACAAGAUGUUUUUGAUCAACAAUUUAACCGUCUCCCUUAGGCGAUGUACAUGAAACAAUAGAAAUGGUUCAAGAUGCAUACAAUCAUUGUACAACUGAUCUGGACGAGUUUAAAAAAUCGCUUGAAGAUGCCGAAAAACCAUUGUAUCUUGGCUGCACAAAGUUUACGAAGUUAUCUCCAUUAGUCAAACUGUUUAACUUCAAAACUAGUAGUGGGUUGUCUCAGACGGGUUUUUCAGGUAUGCUAACAUUGAUGGGUGGCAUACUACCAAUCAAUAAUGAAAUGCCAGUAUCCAUGCCAGCAAAAGUUUUAUGGUACUUCUCGCCUAUUCUGAGAUUUCGAAGGAUAUUCCAAUCAACACAAAUAGCAAAGGACUUGACAUGGCAUACUCACCAAAGAGAUUUUGAUGGCAAACUAAAUCACCCAAUAGAAUCUCCAUCAUAGAAGUUAGUAGACCACAAGUGGCCAGAUUUCGCUGCAGAGCCAAGGAACCUUCGACUAGCUAUUUUUGCAGAUGGAAUAAAUCCACAUGGGUUCUUGAGCAGUAGGUAUAGUUGUUGGCCAGUCAUAAUGGUUACCUAUAAUCUUCCACCAUGGUUGUAUAUGAAGAGAAAAUUUAUAAUAUUAUCAUUGUUGAUAUCAGGUCCACAAUAACCUGGUAAUGAUAUUGAUGUUUUCUUGGCACCAUUGAUUGAUGAUUUGAAGAUGUUAUGGGAAGUAGGCAUUGAAGCUUAUGAUGCUUACCGACAACAACACUUUAGGUUGAAGGUUGUAUUAUUAUGGACGAUAAGUGACUUUCCAACAUAUGGCAAUUUUAGUGGUUGUUAUGUGAAGGUAUAUUAUGUGUGUCCAAUUUGCAGUGAUGGAACGAAUUCCCAUAUAUUGAAAUGCGUUAAGAAGAACACAUAUGCAAGCCACAUAAAAUUUCUUCCAUGCUACCAUCCACAUUGAAAGCAAAAGAAGGCUUUUAAUGGUGAGCAGGAUUUUGGAUUGCCGCCAUUAUCAUUAAGUGGAGAGCAGAUACUUGAGAAAGUUGAAGGGAGUUUACCUAAAUGGGGAAAGAAGAAUAAAAAAUCAUUCGAUGUUGGCACUACAAAUUGUUGGAAGAAGAAGUCAAUAUUUUUUGAUCUUAAAUAUUGGAAAUACUUGCAUGUUUGACAUAACUUGGAUCUUAUGCACAUUGAGAAGAAUGUGUGUCGGCAUCAUUGGCACAUUGCUUCAUAUUUCAGGAAAAACAAAGGAUGGAAUUAAUUCUCACCUAGAUCUUGUGGACAUGGGUUUACAUAAAGAUUUGGCACCACAAAUUGGAGAGAAGCGAACAUACUUGCCUCUAACAUGUUAUACAUUGUCUAAGGAGGAGAAAAGAAAGGGCCUGAGUUCAAAGACGAUUUUUGGCAAGGACUAUGAGUGUGAUGGGCUGUACUACUUUGGGGAUUCACCGGAUGAGCCUUCCUCUUCUUCCUUAGCUAGUUUUCAGGCUUCUGUUUUGCCUGCUUCCAUAUCUUGUGUUUUUAAUAUUCAAACUUUAGAAUUAUGAUGGAUUCAUCUUACGAAGAGGAUGCAAGGUUGUCACCAAUAAAAUCGAAAAAAAGGAAAGUUAGAGGUUCAACAACCCUACCAGGGAUCAUAAAGGAUGAAAGUUCUGGUGUGCAAAAAAUCAUUCACUAUAAUGAGUUGGGUCAACUGAUAGGGGAUGUACAAUACUGGAUCUAUCUUGGAGUUUUGGCUCGAACAAUGGUCCCAAUAGUCUAUAAAGAUUGGCAUAAGGUUCCAAAAGAAUUGAAAGAGAAAUUGUGGAGUUGUGUGGAGUCUGCAGGCCUCAUAUAUCUACAUACUUUUAAUUUCACUUAAAUUUUUUGUUUAUAACUUUAUUUCUUAAUUGCUCAGUUAGCAUACAAUGUGGAUCGAAGUAGAAAAAAGAAGACUUUGUCUUCAAUUGGAGAGAAAUGGAGGACAUUCAAAAAAUACCUUAGCAAGCACAUCCGUCAAUACAAGUCAAGUCCUAAGUUUGUUUCAAAACCAUCAGAAAUUUAUCCUUUUAUUGAACAAAGACAUUGGAAUUCAUUUAUGAGGGAUAGACUGACAGAAAAAUUUGAGGUAGAAAGUAAUAUUCACAGAGCGAGGCAAAGCAAAAGUAUAUAUAACCAUAGGCUUGGUCGAAAGGGCUAUGCUCGUUUUCAAGAAGAACUUAAACAAAAGGCUGGAUCAAGUGAGAAUUAUGCAACAAGUUGCAAAAAUUGAUGAGUUUACUAAACAAACAAUGGAUGGGAGUUUGUCCACCCAAGGAAGCACCGACAUCCUUACCAUGGCAUUGGGUAUGGUUGAACAUUCGGGGCAGGUAAGGGGUGUAGGAAAUUUUAUUGCACCAGACAGUACUUCCACAUUCCUAGACGUGGAAAUCAUUCAAUUUGUGAAGAGAAGCUGAAAUCUUUUGAGUCAAUCGUGUUACAAAUGCAAGCUCAAAUCAAUACAAUGGCACAACAAAGACCCCAAACAUCUCAAUUUGAUGAUGCAAACUCAAACACCUUGAAAAGCGAUAAUAUAGGCAAUCCACAACUUGUUCCUAACUCAAAGGAAAGUAGGUUGCUUUUCAAGAAUGACAUGUCAUCUUCAAAUCCUAAGCAGAAUAUUAGACCUCCAAAUCCUAAGAAGAAUAUCAAACCUCUAGUUUUCAAGCUAAAUAUUAGAAAGGCAUAUUGUUUUUAUUUCAAUUUUAAGUUAAUUAUUUUGUAAAUUAUGAAUUGAAUCCUUAGUUGUAAAAGCAUUUAUUUGUUUAUUAUUUCUUAUGGAGCAAACCAUGCAAACUAGUGGUGGGAUCUCUUGAAAACAUUGUUGCCCAUGGUACGAUGUAUGAAAGAAUUGGACCUCAAGAAGUUAUUCAUACGGUACCAUUGGGGAAAUUCAAUGAGUGUCUGUUGAUGUUGCCAUAGUUAAAGAUGGCCCUCUUCCCAUUCCUAUCCCAGAAGAGAUGACUAUUGUUGGAGAGGCAAUAGGAUGUCAGGUGGCUUGGCCCAAAAAAUUCAUGUUGGUCAACAAUGAGGUACAAAUAUCCUUUCUGGAAGUGUUACUACAUUUUCCUUCAACUGAAAUUGACUAGUGUAUUUUUGCAUUGUAACAUUUCAAAUUUUGGGAGCUUUAAAAGGUGUUGAUUGUGAAAAACGUUUGGAGUGCAUUCCAGCUUUUGCUUCAUUGGUCGGCAAUGAGGUACAACUAUCUUUUCUAGUGGUGUUGUUACAUUUUCUUACACUGAAAUUGACAUAUUUUUGCAUUGGGAAUUUUCUAACUUGGGGAAAUUCAAAAAAUGUUUAUUUUGAAAAAAAAUUGGAGUCCUUCCAUGCUUUUGAAUCAUUGGUCGAGCAUUUCAAGUGUGAUGAAGCCAUUAACAUUCCACUAGAGAAGGACAUAUUUGGGGAGUCAGUGUACAACUUCAAAGAGUAGACAUGGAGUGUGUAUGUCAAAUGAAAGAGCUAUGCAUUACAUGCUUCAUGUUGUACGUAAGUCAUUUCCAUCAAGUGUUAAAAGCAUCGAAUUUGAACAGAAGAUUUGCAUUUGUUAACCCAUAUGUCAUUAGUGGGAAAUGUCAGACUGCUGGAAAUUCAAAAUCAACAUUGAUUGCUAGAAGAUUUGAUGAUGCCAAGCCUGACCAACUAAUAUUUGUUCCUUAUAAUAUUGGGUACCAUUGGGUAUUAUUAGUCAUUGAUCUAUCAUCGAUGAUAGUGUACUCUCUUGAUUCAUUUUAUCAUGGUGAAAUCAACACAAGUUUAAAAUUUGGUCUUCGGAUUUAUGGAAUAACUAAAGGGAUGAAUAGAAAGCCAAUUUGGCAAGUAGUUGAGGGUUCAAGAGGGAAUUUGGAGGGAAAUAUAUAGGAAGAUGGAGGGAAAGAAGAACGGGGGCGCUACUUGCAUAACAAUGUCACCAAAUUGAAGGUUGCUUACAGUAGUCCAUAGGUUCCUUUAUUUUUCUUUGCUCAAUCAAACUUUGUUUUGUCGUUAGGAAUGACUUAUUUUUUUAUUGAUAGAGCUACAAUGGAUGUAGCAGCAGAUAUUUGAAAAUUGAAAUCAGUGUGUAAUUAAAGUUUAA